AGACCCGAAACCCGGUGAUCUAGCCAUGGGCAGGUUGAAGGUUGGGUAACACUAACUGGAGGACCGAACCGACUAAUGUUGAAAAAUUAGCGGAUGACCUGUGGCUGGGGGUGAAAGGCCAAUCAAACCGGGAGAUAGCUGGUUCUCCCCGAAAGCUAUUUAGGUAGCGCCUCGUGAAUUCAUCUCCGGGGGUAGAGCACUGUUUCGGCUAGGGGGCCAUCCCGGCUUACCAACCCGAUGCAAACUGCGAAUACCGGAGAAUGUUAUCACGGGAGACACACGGCGGGUGCUAACGUCCGUCGUGAAGAGGGAAACAACCCAGACCGCCAGCUAAGGUCCCAAAGUCAUGGUUAAGUGGGAAACGAUGUGGGAAGGCCCAGACAGCCAGGAUGUUGGCUUAGAAGCAGCCAUCAUUUAAAGAAAGCGUAAUAGCUCACUGGUCGAGUCGGCCUGCGCGGAAGAUGUAACGGGGCUAAACCAUGCACCGAAGCUGCGGCAGCGACGCUUAUGCGUUGUUGGGUAGGGGAGCGUUCUGUAAGCCUGCGAAGGUGGCCUGUGAGGGUUGCUGGAGGUAUCAGAAGUGCGAAUGCUGACAUAAGUAACGAUAAAGCGGGUGAAAAGCCCGCUCGCCGGAAGACCAAGGGUUCCUGUCCAACGUUAAUCGGGGCAGGGUGAGUCGACCCCUAAGGCGAGGCCGAAAGGCGUAGUCGAUGGGAAACGGGUUAAUAUUCCCGUACUUGGUGUUACUGCGAAGGGGGGACGGAGAAGGCUAUGUUGGCCGGGCGACGGUUGUCCCGGUUUAAGCGUGUAGGUGUGUGUUCCAGGUAAAUCCGGUUCACUUUAACACUGAGGCGUGACGACGAGGCACUACGGUGCUGAAGCAACAAAUGCCCUGCUUCCAGGAAAAGCCUCUAAGCAUCAGGUAACAUCAAAUCGUACCCCAAACCGACACAGGUGGUCAGGUAGAGAAUACCAAGGCGCUUGAGAGAACUCGGGUGAAGGAACUAGGCAAAAUGGUGCCGUAACU
rnacentral:rRNA from 2 species